CCCUUGGUAGUCUAGUUGGUUAUGGCGUUCGACUGUAAUUGUCUAUAUAAUUGUUUAUCGAAAAGUCGCUGGUUCGAUUCCGGCCCGAGGGA
rnacentral:tRNA from 1 species